rnacentral:rRNA from 1 species
GACGUAGGAUGCAAGCGUUGUCCGGAAUUAUUGGGCGUAAAGAGUUCGUAGGCGGUUACUUAAGUCUGAUGUUAAAGACUGGCGCUCAACGCCAGCAUGGCAUUGGAAACUGGGUAGCUAGAGUACGGUAGAGGUCAUGGGAAUUCCUGGUGUAGCGGUGAAAUGCGUAGAUAUCAGGAGGAACACCAGUGGCGAAAGCGCGUGACUGGGCCGUAACUGACGCUGAGGAACGAAAGCCAGGGGAGCGAAAGGG